rnacentral:rRNA from 1 species
UACGGGGGGGGCAAGCGUUGUUCAGAAUUACUGGGCGUAAAGGGCUCGUAGGCGGCCAACUAAGUCCGACGUGAAAUCCCAAGGCUUAACCUUGGAACUGCGUCGGAUACUGGAUGGCUUGAAUUCGGGAGAGGGAUGCAGAAUUCCAGGUGUAGCGGUGAAAUGCGUAGAUAUCUGGAGGAAUACCGGUGGCGAAGGCGGGUCUCUGGGCCGAUACUGACGCUGAGGAGCGAAAGCGUGGGGAGCGAACAGG